UGUCCCUACUGACCAUUGGAUGGUGGCGCCACCCUAAGCCAGUGGUGGCGCAGAAAGUCCAGUGCGCCGCCCAUCGACGUGGCGUUUUUUUGGCUGUGUGGCGCCGGCGUGAGACGCAUGGAGUUUGUGCGCCGCCGUUCGCCACAAUGUGAUUCGGUGGAAAAACUUUGAAACCUACCUACAUUCUACAUUCUACGUUCUACGUUACUACACCGCUACUACUUCUAUCUACGGCCCGCAUUUCUUCGCUAUGCCGCUGUCUUAUUUGUCCGUUCCUACCACCAAUUGUUCACCUAAACAACUUCGCCUUACCAUAUCGUUUUCGCCGUUGGCACGCUGCCAGAUGACCCUUUUGCCAUGAAAGCCUGAAUAUAUUAUUUAUUUGUUUUUA
rnacentral:lncRNA from 1 species